rnacentral:lncRNA from 1 species
AGACACACCAAGCAUUAGAUGAGGCUUUGAUGCAAAGAAGCAAUCACAAAAAUGAUGAGUCAGAUCCCCAGGCAUCAUGAGAGAGGAAUGAACUGCAGUUGCAUCUGGGAUGAGAGAUACUCCAGAAGCUCAGGAAGGGAUCAGCUGAGUUUUGAAGGGAUCAACUGAGUUUGAAGUGAAUGGUAGAGAGCAGGAUGUGGAAGAAAGAGAAAGUUUUUGCACAAAAGAAGGGGACUUUAUUGCAAGAAGCAGAAUAAGUGGUGCCUGUAUUAGAAGAAUAAACUGCCACAUUCCAGUCCAUUCCAAGAGGGAAAAGGAGCCUUAUGCUGCCUCUACCUAUCCAUCUGAAAAUUCACCUUCAUAUGCAUAUUCCAUGGCUGGAUGAAGAACACCUUGGCACAGGUAUACGUCAUACACGUGUCUAAUGCAAUUUGCUGCAAUAUAUUUAUCACAUUAUGGAAGAGUGUUAUCUUCAUCAAUUACAAGCAAAAAAAGGCUCCUAGAAUUAAUAAGGGGAUAAAAGCUAAAUUUGUAUUUCAGUGGACUCUUGAAGGCUUAUCUCCAUGGGAAAGCUGUAUGUAAAUCUGCAGUGUUUCAUCUGGCUUAUGUUAAGUCCUACGUUUGGAUUUCAAUUCUAUGGUAGAUGUGACAUAAUGAUUUGCACCAAUUCUCCUCUUUUUAAUCUGAAAAUGACUGGGCAUGUAGUGAUGAGAACAGAGAGAACAAUUUUCCUGGAGAAAGGUGUAUUUCCUUCAGCAUUCCUUUGGCUGGGCCCAUGGUCAUUUUGUUGGAUCCAUCAUUUGUGCAUGUCUGCUGACCCAUCACACUGCUUGUGACAAACUGUGCUCUCAUUCUCAAUUAGUGUUUUAAUGAAAUUAAUAGCACUGGCAUAGCUGCAUGGUCAAGUGCCACUCCAGAGUGAAGCCUGUGAGCCCUUUUAGUGCAGCAGAAAGGGGAGAAAUGGCAGGUUUGGGUCCAACUACAUAAAAAGUUGAGAAGAUGACUAGAACUAUUCAGGCAUGAAGAAAAUAGCAUGUGAAGGUUUCUGGUGAUGUGUGUCACAGAAUCAUAGAAUCACAGACUCAUAGAAUGGCUUGGGUUGGAAGAGACCUUAAAGAUUAUCUAGUUCCAGCCCCAUUCCCACUCCCCACGGGCAGGGAUGCCAUACACACAUCAAGUUGCUCAGGUCCCCACCCAACCUGGCCUUCCCCAUGUGUUUGAAGAUGGAUGUUUGUGCAGAUGCCACAAAAGCAGAGAGCAUCCAUAGUGUUGGCCCCAAGAUGCUUUGAGGAAUGGUGUUAGGAGGUGUUGCUGCUCUCAGGAUGCUCAGCAAGGUUCACUCAGGCUCUGGACUCAAGCAGUCACCACCUCCCUGGCUGGAUGGGAAGGAAGACAGCAGCUCUGGGUAAGAUGAGAUUCAAAAGGCAGUGGCUGAGAGUUUUCACUGGUGUCUGAAAGCAAUGUCUGAGAGAUAAACCUAGACUGACUGCCAAACAUGCUCAGAAAGCCUGUUUCAUGGUGCUACCAAGAGACUUAAAUCUCCUGUGUUUACUGUGGCUACCAAACAUGUUGCAGGCAUUCCAUUCUCACCUGUCAUGUAGGAUGCAAGCUGUGACUGUGCAUGUGGCUAUCUCUGCUGUGUAGCCAAAUGCUCAGCCUUGUUCUAGAACUUGCACAGAGACUUCCCAUCCUGACCUUGCACUUCUCAUGCCCCACAACCCUGCUGAAGUUGUUCUCUCCAGUAUAACACAGAAAGAAAUAAGAGAACCUGGUGGAGGCAGACUGGCUGGAGAAGCAAGGUUGGGGUUGCAAAGAGGAUUCUGGGUUUGUUUAUCCUGUCCUCUGUGUGGAGAAGGGAGAGCACAGCCACAGUGUGUGCUGUAGCUCAGGCCUUGACACCCCAUUUGGAUGGGCUGGCAUCAGCGAUGUUUCCCAGCAGAAACCCUGAGCUCCUCUGUCCCUGGGCAGGGUGAGGAUGCUUUGGGCAGAAGCUGCGGGUCAGCUGCCUCCAGCCAGGUGUAAAGAAAGGGAAGGGGUCAGAUGGCUCAUGCUGCUUAACCCAGUGCUUCAAUGAAAAUUGCAGAGAAGUGAUUCAGAAAAACUAAAGGAGAAGAUGGGAAUUUGAAGGCACGGGAUAACUACUCAUCAUCCGCCCUUUCCCCCAUUCAUCAGCCCUGCACUCUCUCCUAGAGGGAGGGGGCCUGUGGACAUCUUGGAGGGCGUUUGCAAACACACACACACAUCCUCCCCUCCCCCACAUUCCUUUUUAUUGCCUCACUUCUACCUGUAAUGAAAAAAGGUCCCUGCUGUGGUCAGACUUUGUGCUGUUUGAUUUAAGCACAGAUCACAGUGAUGAGGGCUUACUGAAGGCCUUUUGUGUGUGUUUAACACUACAGCUGCCAAGGUGAAGAGAAAACCCAGUAGACUAAGCAAGAUGCUCUAAAUACUAAUAAAGUCUGAGGGAGAUUGGAAGGAGUGGAAAUG